rnacentral:rRNA from 1 species
UCAGAGGGGGGUAGAAUUCCACGUGUAGCAGUGAAAUGCGUAGAGAUGUGGAGGAAUACCGAUGGCGAAGGCAGCCCCCNUGGGAUAAUACUGACGUUCAUGCUNGAAAGCGUGGGUAGCAAACAGGAUUAGAUACCCUGGUAGUNCACGCCCUAAACGAUGUCAAUUAGCUGUUGGGCAACAUGAUUGCUUAGUAGCGUAGCUAACGCGUGAAAUUGACCGCCUGGGGAGUACGGUCGCAAGAUUAAAACUCAAAGGAAUUGACGGGGACCCGCACAAGCGGUGGAUGAUGUGGAUUAAUUCGAUGCAACGCGAAGAACCAUACCUGGUCUUGACAUGUACGGAAUCUUCCAGAGACGGAAGAGUGCCUUCGGGAGCCGUAACACAGGUGCUGCAUGGCUGUCGUCAGCUCGUGUCGUGAGAUGUUGGGUUAAGUCCCGCAACGAGCGCAACCCUUGUCAUUAGUUGCCACCAUUCAGUUGGGCACUCUAAUGAGACUGCCGGUGACAAACCGGAGGAAGGUGGGGAUGACGUCAAGUCCUCAUGGCCCUUAUGACCAGGGCUUCACACGUCAUACAAUGGUCGGUACAGAGGGUAGCCAAGCCGCGAGGUGGAGCCAAUCUCAGAAAACCGAUCGUAGUCCGGAUUGCACUCUGCAACUCGAGUGCAUGAAGUCGGAAUCGCUAGUAAUCGCAGGUCAGCAUACUGCGGUGAAUACGUUCCCGGGUCUUGUACACACCGCCCGUCACACCAUGGGAGUGGGGGAUACCAGAAGUAGGUAGGCU